CUGAGAAUGGCAGUACCAGCCCUCAGGUGCCAUUGAAAUGGUAAUUCUGCUAAUUCGGCUUUGGAACUAAAGGAUCUCUUGGAUAAAGAUUCAACAUUACAACUUAUCAUUAAGAAUUACUAUUUGUCAGAGAGAAACUAAGAUGGCGGCAUAGAUAAACACCGG